GCCAUAGCGUAAUGGGUUGAGUGUUGGACUAUGACUCUGAAGACCAGGGUUUGAUUCCCAGCUUGGCC